GGAGGUUUGGCUGAGUGGUCUAAAGCACCGGUCUUGAAAACCGGCGAAGUGAAAGCUUCCUAGAGUUCGAAUCUCUAAGCCUCCGCCA
rnacentral:tRNA from 1 species